UGGCUCAGGAUGAACGCUAGCGGCAGGCUAACACAUGCAAGUCGAGGGGCAUCGGGAGUAGCAAUACUUGCCGGCGACCGGCGCAAGGGUGCGUAACGCGUGAGCAACAUGCCCGUAUCAGGGGGAUAAUCCAUGGAAACGUGGUCUAAUACCCCAUAGUAAUUAUGUAAGGCAUCUUAUAUAAUUUAAAGCUUUGGUGGAUACGGAUUGGCUCGCGUGACAUUAGCUGGAUGGUAAGGUAACGGCUUACCAUGGCUACGAUGUCUAGGGGUUCUGAGAGGAAGGUCCCCCACACUGGAACUGAGACACGGUCCAGACUCCUACGGGAGGCAGCAGUGAGGAAUAUUGGACAAUGGAUGGAAAUCUGAUCCAGCCAUGCCGCGUGCAGGAAGAACCGGCCCUAUGGGUUGUAAACUGCUUUUGUAUGGGAGCAAUAAGGGCUACGUGUAGUCCGAUGAGAGUACCAUACGAAUAAGCACCGGCUAACUCCGUGCCAGCAGCAGC
rnacentral:rRNA from 1 species